rnacentral:lncRNA from 1 species
AUGACAAGUCCCAUUGCACAGAGAACUCAGUUUCUGCUGUGCAGUAUCAUUAACCUUUUGUUACCAUAUAAGAAAACCUUUUUGAAGGAGAUCAAAGUAGGUACCCCUAGAUUCUCUCUACAGUUCCACUCUGACCAGAAAUCCUUUGUUGUGGGUCACUCAAGAGGAAGAUGAGCUUGUACAGUCUGCAGGCUGUGUGCUAGGAACUGGGAAUGCCUACACAAAAUUGGUGGGACAUGCUGGUAAGUGAAAAAUUAAAAUUAAACCACAUACAAGUAGGUAUUGUGUUUUCAUCUUAAUGGCUGCACAUUAUCCUGUGAAGCUCAAGCUAUUUUAUCCAGGGAAAAUAAUAAUAAUUCCAAACAAGCCUGGAAAGAGCUUUUAGAAACCAAAGCUUGAGUACAGAUCGAGCUCUUUGAAGAAACUCAAGAAGGAAAAAGAAGUUUGUGACCUGGUCCUAAGAGCACUUAAAUAUUUUGAGCUCUUUCAUGUAAUCUCUUUGAAAGUCACUCUGAAAUCACUGAGCUGGAAUACAGUUUAUUAGGCUUCUAAAACCCUCUUUUCAAGAGGAAUAGAUUAUGCAAACUAGAACUUGUGUUCCAGGCUGGCAGCUGUGGGUUUUAGGUUGGUCCUCCAAGUUUUGAUUUCAUGGCUCCUGAACGUGCACAAUCAUUUUCAGUUCUAGAUAUGUUGUUGCCCUUAUUACAAUUAAAACUCUCUUGCUAAUUAUCUUGCAGGUAUUUUUAGCUUUCUUAUCAAUGCUUUUCAGAAUAAGUCAAGAAGAGGUUUUCAGGAGGAAAGACAGCAAGCAAAGUCCUCUUGGACAAUCCUUUGGACAAGGUAACCUGUAGAAACCAGGCUACAAAGUUCUAUUUAACAUUGUGACAAUUUGUGGAAGUAAUUAAAGCAAACAAAGCACAGCCAUUAAGAAGCAACAAGCUAGAUCAGAUUAACUAAAGCAUAUUCCAACAGGCUGUGGGAAAUUGGGAGCUGCUUCUCCAGAAGAUUUUACUUCUCUGUUCCUUGGACCUUUCUCAGUAAUGCUUUCCUGGCUAGGAAGCAUUAAUUGGAUUGUACCUGUACAGGUACAUCCUCAGUGGAUGUCUCCUUACAAGAUGAGGUUUGUGGGUUUUUUUAUAAAAAGAAUUUUGUGUUUCUCUCUGUACUCUGGUCAUCUUUAAGUUUCCAACCAUUACUGUGUCUUGUUUUUCUCAGUCUUACUGUGUCCAGCUCCCAGGAUCCUAAUGCUGCAGUGCCACUCAGUCCCUUUCAGGGCUCUGGUGACUGGCAGAAGAAACAAAUGAAGAAACAAAUCAUUUUUUGGUUACCAGGAGCAGAACUGGAAGCUCACACUGCCCAGCCCCAGUGCAGCCAGUCCUAAUGAUGGGACUGCUCCCAACUGACAGAAAAACCUUUAUCUUCCCUUUCACGAGAACUUUAACCCUCCCUUUAAAUAAAAGCUUGCCUGCUAAUUGGUUUGACCCCCA